GAGGAUAGAGCUCAGUUGUUAGAGCGCUUGCCUUGCAUGCACAAGGCCCUGGGUUCAAUCCCCAGCACCCCCC
rfam:Ictidomys tridecemlineatus contig073307, whole genome shotgun sequence.